rnacentral:rRNA from 1 species
UACGUAGGGGGCAAGCGUUGUCCGGAAUCAUUGGGCGUAAAGAGCGCGUAGGCGGUCCGGUAAGUCCGCUCUGAAAGCCCGGGGCUCAACCCCGGGAGGCGGGCGGAUACUGUCGGGCUAGAGUCCGGAAGAGGCGAGUGGAAUUCCUGGUGUAGCGGUGAAAUGCGCAGAUAUCAGGAGGAACACCGAUGGCGAAGGCAGCUCGCUGGGACGGUACUGACGCUGGAGGCGCGAAAGCGUGGGGAGCAAACAGG